UCCUCAGCUGGAGCAGUAGAGAGAACAAGAGAGCAUUACAGCCUGGGAAAGGAACAGAGAUUUAAUAACACUCAUUGCUUGCACAGCAUUAAGGUAGCUAAGGGCUGUUUUCCCCUUAUUUAUAAGGGUCCUACAUCUCUUGAAAUGACAACUUGAGGCAAAGCUAACAUCCCUGCUGUCUGAAGUGUUGUUCACACCAUCUCACGUAGAGGAUAACCAAGGUAUAAAGUGGCUUGGCUCUGAAAGUCUUGAAAAAAAGUCACAGAAAAUCCCUAUGUUUUGCAAAUUUGAUGCAUUCAGAGGCACAUGUGCACACGGCAGUGAAGAAAUCCUGCUUCACAUAUGGUAAAAUAUAAGCUUGGGGGAAAUCUUACUGCGAAGGUGGGUUGCAUAUGUGUUUUUGCAAGUGUGUUUAUGUAGAAUUUUUGGAUCUCAAGACUAGAGGCCUUGCUCAGGCAAAAAUCCAACUGGCUGAAAUGGAAAUGUUGCCUUAUGCAGUCUGCAAAAUUCGGCUGGGAGUGCAUGUUUGUACAUUUUCCGUGCAUGCUAAAGGUCAAGGAAAAGAUUGCCAGGACCUCUUAUUUGUUUCUGUGCCUUCCUGCUGCAUAGCCAAGAUACAGGUAAAGCUGCCACGGCUUUCAAAGAGCCUGCAGAAUUUGGCCCACUCUGUAUCAAAACAGCCUUGAACAGUGGAGUACAGCUAAAUUAUUCCAACACCAGACAAAUGGGUCUGCCUAACCUAAGCCAUAACAUUUGAAUUAUUAAUGUUCUCUA